rnacentral:rRNA from 1 species
GACGAACGCUGGCGGCGUGCUUAACACAUGCAAGUCGAACGAAGAGCGAUGGAAGCUUGCUUCUAUCAAUCUUAGUGGCGAACGGGUGAGUAACGCGUAAUCAACCUGCCCUUCAGAGGGGGACAACAGUUGGAAACGACUGCUAAUACCGCAUACGAUCUAAUCUCGGCAUCGAGGAUAGAUGAAAGGUGGCCUCUAUUUAUAAGCUAUCACUGAAGGAGGGGAUUGCGUCUGAUUAGCUAGUUGGAGGGGUAACGGCCCACCAAGGCGAUGAUCAGUAGCCGGUCUGAGAGGAUGAACGGCCACAUUGGGACUGAGACACGGCCCAGACUCCUACGGGAGGCAGCAGUGGGGAAUCUUCCGCAAUGGACGAAAGUCUGACGGAGCAACGCCGCGUGAGUGAUGACGGCCUUCGGGUUGUAAAGCUCUGUUAAUCGGGACGAAAGGCCUUCUUGCGAAUAGUUAGAAGGAUGACGGUACCC